GCCCGCCUAGCUCAAUCGGAUAGAGCGUCAGACUCUUACGGUCUGUAAAACAGGCAGGUGUAAUCUGAAGGCUGUGGGUUCGACCCCCACGGUGGGCU
rfam:Stereum hirsutum FP-91666 SS1 unplaced genomic scaffold STEHIscaffold_3, whole genome shotgun sequence.